rnacentral:rRNA from 1 species
CCUACGGGAGGCAGCAGUGGGGAAUAUUGGGCAAUGGGCGCAAGCCUGACCCAGCAACGCCGCGUGAAGGAAGAAGGCUUUCGGGUUGUUAACUUCUUUUCUCAGGGACGAAGAAAGUUACGCUACCUGACGAAUAAGCCUCGGCUAACUACGUGCAAGCAGUCGCGGUAAUACGUAGGUGGCAAGCGUUAUCCGGAUUUAUUGGGUGUAAAGGGCGUUUAGGCGGGAGAGCAAGUCAGAUGUGAAAACUCAGGGCUCAACCCUGAGCCUGCAUUUGAAACUGUGUUUCUUGAGUGCUGGAGAGGCAUUCGUAAUGCCGUGUGUAGCGGUGAAAUGCAUAGAUAUUCGGCGUAACCCCGGUUGCGAAAGCGGAGUGCUGGACAGUAACUGACGCUGAGGCGCGAAAGCGUGGGGAGCAAACAGGAUUAGAUACCCUAGUAGUC